GCCUGUCUGUCUGUCAGCAAUAUGUUGUCCACCAUUCCCCUUUCAAGACUUGCAGGUCUAAUUUCCAAUGAGACAACUCUUUACAAGAGACCAAAUGCACAGAAAUUAACAACUAUAGGUCACCGUACGGCCUUCAACAAUGAGCAAAGCCCAUACCAAUUUCUGGAAGACCUCGUAUAGAUAGAAAACAAAUUAUUCAACCCUCAUCUUCGCCAGCCAAAGUUACGAUCACUUUAUUAUUCUCUACACGGAUCCUAACUUUUGGCUAGAGAAGAUGUUUUUAAAAUUUUAAAUCAUUGAUGAACCGAUAACUGUUUCUGCCUUGAUGAAAAAUUAGACACACUGCCGGGGUUUCUCAGGAACUGGGUUGGACGUAAAAGUUAACUUUACAAAAUCAUUGGUCACACGAAAGUUCAAAUAAGCAAACCAAAAAAAAAAAGCAAAAACACACACGCACAC
rnacentral:lncRNA from 1 species